CGACUUAACCGGUGAGUUAUUUUCAUGUGUUCAGUGUUGUCAUUUAACAACAUUUACCAUACUACGAUGUUGUGAUUGUUUUGUUUAAGAUUUAAUAUUUGGAUAUUUACAGACUUUGACUUCAGAAUCAGACGACGCUUCACAAAACCAGAAAUCAUGGAGAAAUUUGAUCAUCAUCACAUCUGUCCUGGUUUGCGCUUUAGCCGUCAUUGCAGCUAUUGGUUUGGUCAUAAGAUGUGCUGAUAAAAAAUGUAAUGAAGUGAAAGAGCAACAGUUUGUUGAAACUGUUUUGUUGAAGCAUCUCAGCGGAAGCAGAUCUUGUCAGAGCGAGUGCAUCUUCACUCUUCUGCAGUCAAAUACAGAUGCAGAAACAGAACACGAGAGAGUCAGAGAAGUUUAAAGCACG